rnacentral:rRNA from 1 species
UACGAAGGGGAGCUAGCGUUGCUCGGAAUUACUGGGCGUAAAGCGCACGUAGGCGGCUUUCUAAGUCGGGGGUGAAAUCCUGGAGCUCAACUCCAGAACUGCCUUCGAUACUGGAAAGCUCGAGUCCGGGAGAGGUGAGUGGAACUGCGAGUGUAGAGGUGAAAUUCGUAGAUAUUCGCAAGAACACCAGUGGCGAAGGCGGCUCACUGGCCCGAUACUGACGCUGAGGUGCGAAAGCGUGGGGAGCAAACAGG